CUUUACUCUAGCUUUGCAUUGGCAUCAGGAAUGUGAUGUGCAGGAUAGGUGGUAGGCAUCGAAGCGGGGACGCCAGUCUUCGUGGAGCCAUCCUUGAGAUACCACCCUUCGCCUUCUUGAUGUCUAACCGCGGCCCGUUAUCCGGGUCCGGGACCGUGCAUGGUGGGGAGUUUGACUGGGGCGGUCGCCUCCCAAAUUGUAACGGAGGCGCGCGAUGGUUGGCUCAGACCGGUCGGAAAUCGGUCGUUGAGUGCAAUGGCAGAAGCCAGCCUGACUGCAAGACUGACAAGUCGAGCAGAGACGAAAGUCGGUCAUAGUGAUCCGGUGGUCCCAAGUGGGAGGGCCAUCGCUCAACGGAUAAAAGGUA
rnacentral:rRNA from 1 species